rnacentral:rRNA from 1 species
GUAAGGCUGAGUAUUAGGCAAAUCCGGUACUCGUUAAGGCUGAGCUGUGAUGGGGAGAAGACAUUGAGUCUUCGAGUCGUUGAUUUCACACUGCCGAGAAAAGCCUCUAGAUAGAAAAUAGGUGCCCGUACCGCAAACCGACACAGGUAGUCAAGAUGAGAAUUCUAAGGUGAGCGAGCGAACUCUCGUUAAGGAACUCGGCAAAAUGACCCCGUAACUUCGGGAGAAGGGGUGCUCUUUAGGGUUAACGCCCAGAAGAGCCGCAGUGAAUAGGCCCAAGCGACUGUUUAUCAAAAACACAGGUCUCUGCUAAACCGUAAGGUGAUGUAUAGGGGCUGACGCCUGCCCGGUGCUGGAAGGUUAAGAGGAGUGGUUAGCUUCUGCGAAGCUACGAAUCGAAGCCCCAGUAAACGGCGGCCGUAACUAUAACGGUCCUAAGGUAGCGAAAUUCCUUGUCGGGUAAGUUCCGACCCGCACGAAAGGCGUAACGAUUUGGGCACUGUCUCAACGAGAGACUCGGUGAAAUCAUAGUACCUGUGAAGAUGCAGGUUACCCGCGACAGGACGGAAAGACCCCGUGGAGCUUUACUGUAGCCUGAUAUUGAAAUUCGGCACAGCUUGUACAGGAUAGGUAGGAGCCUUUGAAACGUGAGCGCUAGCUUACGUGGAGGCGCUGGUGGGAUACUACC